UACAGAGGGGGCAAGCGUUGUUCGGAAUUACUGGGCGUAAAGGGCUCGUAGGCGGCCUUCUAAGUCGAACGUGAAAUCCCUGGGCUCAACCCAGGAACUGCGUCCGAUACUGGAAGGCUUGAAUCCGGGAGAGGAAUGCGGAAUUCCAGGUGUAGCGGUGAAAUGCGUAGAUAUCUGGAGGAACACCGGUGGCGAAGGCGGCAUCCUGGACCGGCAUUGACGCUGAGGCGCGAAAGCCAGGGGAGCAAACGGG
rnacentral:rRNA from 1 species